UACACCGGAAUUGUAUUAACCACACGUGUCCUGAUUGGUCAGUUUGUGUUUCCGAUGGAACAACGACAUCGUGUGAUACUUCCAUAGAUGUACCUAAAGAGUGUGGUAUACCGUGGUCACGCCCAUACAGCACCUAUACAUCUAACGGUUCAUCACAUAUGUCUAUAACAGACUAUACCUGUAACCAAUGGUCGGAAUAUAUGCGCGGUACAACUCAGGCUGUUUGUAGAGCCAAUGGAGAAUGGGAAAACCCCACCAUUGUUUGUGGAGCUCCUCCAGACUGUGGUCAGCCUCCAAGAAGAACUGGAACAACACGUGUCUAUAAUUCAACCUCUGUUGGUGAUGUCGUAACCUACAGCUGUGAAG